rnacentral:lncRNA from 1 species
UGCCAUCCGUCGUCGAUGAUCACGAACUUCGGUGGGGUCCCGCCGGCAGCUAAAGACUCGAUCCCAGCUUCGACCCCUUCUUGAGUAACGUCCUGGUAAAAAGCGUCCCAGGUGCACCACCCGAAAUAGUCAACAAUCCCAGGUAAUUUUUUCUCGUGACGUUGCCGGAACGUUUUGAGAUGUAAUUUGACGGCCCUGAUUGCUUCGGUGAUUGUAGUGAAAGGGUCUGUGCCUGCGUGGAUAUAAACGGAAUGCGUAAACGACGACGCUUUGGUGUCGGCGUCGCCGCUCUCUAAACACAGCUCGAGCUGGUCGUUUUGGUUGCCUUGUAGGACGGCUCGAAAGGGGCCUUCAAUCAAAGGGAGGAA